AUUGAACGCUGGCGGCAGGCCUAACACAUGCAAGUCGAGCGGAGCGGCGGACGGGUGAGUAAUGACUAGGAAUCUGCAUGGUAGUGGGGGAUAACGUACGGAAACGGGAGCUAAUACCGCAUACUAUCAGAUGAGCCUAGGUCGGAUUAGCUAGUUGGUGGGGUAAAGGCCUACCAAGGCGACGAUCCGUAACUGGGCUGAGAGGAUGAUCAGUCACACUGGAACUGAGACACGGUCCAGACUCCUACGGGAGGCAGCAGUGGGGAAUAUUCGACAAUGGGCGAAAGCCUGAUCCAGCCAUGCCGCGUGUGUGAAGAAGGUCUUCGGAUUGUAAAUCACUUUUAUUUGAGAGGCGUUACCAACAGAGUAAGCACCGGCUAACUUCGUGCCAGCAGCCGCGGUAAUUC
rnacentral:rRNA from 1 species